UGUCAGUUGUAAUCAGUAAAUCACUCAAAAUGGUUCGAUUUUUAUUAUAUUUUGCAGCUUUGGCGAUUUUCGGGCUCACCAAUGCAGCGCGAGUAGUCAGGUCACCACAACUUGGUUUCGGGCAAGCAAGUGCUAACGCGCAGGCUGGAUCUUUCGGAGGUGGCUUUAACAAAUUUGGUCCACCACCACCGCCACCAGGAUAUGGCGGACCAGGUUUUGGUCCCAGAGGAUUUGGUCCUAGAGGAUACGGCCCCGGAGGAUUUGGUCCCGGAGGGUUUGGCCCCGGAAGUCGCGGUCCCAGUUUUGGACCUGGAGGAUUUGGCCAGGGUGGCCAUGGACGUGGUUUUGGUGGUGGAUCCUUAAGUAUAUCUAAGAGUGUGAGCAUUAGUGCAGGACGCGGUGGUGCCUCUCAAGCAAGUUCGAAUGCUAAUUCCUUCGGAAAAUAAUAUUAAGUCCCUUUUUAAACGACCAUUAAGAUAUGUGUACAAUAAAAUUAUUAUUUAGAUUA